UCCUCCUUCUCGGGCACCAGACCCCACCCCGCGCCUGAGGGGACUGCGGCUGACAGUGCGGUGGGGGCUGGACUGCUGUUUAAGGCUCCGCCUGCUUUCCGUGAUGUCAUAAAUUCGAGUCAUGUUACAAAUGAGAAGGUUACGGACUUUGCUGCAUCAAGUUACACGCAACUUGGAG